CUAAAAGCAUUUUGUGUGGGUAAUCACAUUUCGAGUGCAAUUUGGAAUAAAUAAGCACGUGUAAAUUUUUCAGAGACUAACAAAAAUUGGGGUCUUUGAAAAAUUUACAAGUGCUUAUUUAUUCCAAAUUGCACGAGAAAA